UUACAUCAUGGGUUUGCAGAGCAUGCGAAACUCCUAAUGUUGAGAAGGAGUGUUGUCUCUGCCCUGUUAAAGGCAUUCUCAUUGAUAUCCUUAUUUAUGCGUUAAAUACCCAGUUUCAUUUUCUGUUUUUUGAUUCUCAUAGAUUUGAAUGCUGCUUCUGCAGCUUUUGUAGAUGCUGAGAAGAUGGAGCCUGCAGUUGGACUUCUUAGAAUUCCAUCACAUUCUUUUGUAAAGCCAUGUGUUAUUUGCAAGCAGACUCAUGGUUCUUGCACUCAGUGUUACAAGUGUGCCACUUCUUUUCAUUCAAUGUGUGCAUUGAGAGCAGGAUAUCGCAUGGAAUUUGCUUCUUGUGGAAUGCGGGCGUGUAAAGAUUAUAACUUUUGUUUUUAUAACCCACAGAAGAAUCAAGACGAAAACUUUUGGUUUUGAUUUACGUUAUUUAGAUUUGUGAACAACAUUAUGUAUGUAUUAUGCAACAUUAUGUAAUGGGAUAAUUUUUAUUG